GCCAGGCAUGGUGGCGUAUGCCUGUAAUCCCAGCUACUCAGGAGGCUGAGGCAGGAGAAUCGCUUGAACCCAGGAGGCGGAGGUUGCAGUGAGCUGAGAUCGCACCAUUGCACUCCAGCCUGGGGGACAAAGCGAGACUCUGUCUCAC
rfam:Pan troglodytes isolate Yerkes chimp pedigree #C0471 (Clint) chromosome 16, whole genome shotgun sequence.